rnacentral:rRNA from 1 species
CAGCCGCCGCGGUAAUACGUAGGGUGCGAGCGUUAAUCGGAAUUACUGGGCGUAAAGCGUGCGCAGGCGGUUGUGUAAGACAGGUGUGAAAUCCCCGGGCUUAACCUGGGAACUGCGCUUGUGACUGCAGAGCUAGAGUAUGGCAGAGGGGGGUGGAAUUCCACGUGUAGCAGUGAAAUGCGCAGAGAUGUGGAGGAACACCGAUGGCGAAGGCAGCCCCCUGGGCCAAUACUGACGCUCAUGCACGAAAGCGUGGGGAGCAAACAGGAUUAGAUACCCCUGUAGUCCCUGUCUCUUAUAC